rnacentral:lncRNA from 1 species
CUUGUCAUCUUAAAAGAUUUUGAUCCAAUGGAUUUGGAGGAAGCAGUCCAUUACUGGGGGUAGAUGUUACUGGCUAUUCUUUACAUCCUACAGUAGAAGAAACUUUGGUUCGAGGAUACUUUGGUUCCUUAGGACGUGAUGACCCCCGGGCAGACAGCCUAUGCUGAUAGCCAUCAUCAAUGACAACUGAAAGAUCAGGGUAUAUGGCAACUGCUCCAUUCUCUGAUGCAUAUCCAAUAAAACAAAGGACUAUCAGGAACUGGGACCAGAUGUCUGCCCUACCCAGAGACCAGCCACCUCCCCGACCUGGAGACUGGCCUGUAUAUAACUAGCCUGUCGUCU